rnacentral:rRNA from 1 species
AACGCGAAGAACCUUACCUGGGUUGGAACCCUCCAGAAGUCCGCAGAGAUGUGGAUGUGCCCGCAAGGGAAUUGGAUGUCCAGGUGCUGCAUGGCUGUCGUCAGCUCGUGUCGUGAGAUGUUGGGUUAAGUCCCGCAACGAGCGCAACCCUUGUCGUUAGUUGCCAGCGGUUCGGCCGGGCACUCUAACGAGACUGCCGGUGUUAAACCGGAGGAAGGUGGGGAUGACGUCAAGUCCUCAUGGCCCUUAUGCCCAGGGCUACACACGUGCUACAAUGACCGGUACAAAGGGUUGCAAACCUGUGAAGGCAAGCUAAUCCCAAAAAACCGGCCUCAGUUCAGAUUGAAGUCUGCAACUCGACUUCAUGAAGUCGGAAUCGCUAGUAAUCCCUGAUCAGCAGGCAGGGGUGAAUACGUUCCCGGGCCUUGUACACACCGUAGAGAC